CUACGUAGGUGACAAGCGUUAUCCGGAUUUACUGGGCGUAAAGGGCGUGUAGGCGGUCUUGCAAGUCGGAAGUGAAAUUCCUGAGCUCAACUCGGGCGCUGCUUCUGAAACUGCAGGACUUGAGUGCUGGAGGGGAUAGCGGAAUUCCUAGUGGAGCGGUAAAAUGCGCAGAUAUUAGGAAGAACACCGGUGGCGAAGGCGGCUAUCUGGACAGUAACUGACGCUGAGGCGAGAAAGCGUGGGGAGCAAACAGGAUUAGAUACCCGGGUAGUCCACGCCGUAAACGAUGAAUACUAGGUGUAGGGGGUAUCGACUCCCUCUGUGCCGCAGUUAACACAAUAAGUAUUCCGCCUGGGGAGUACGGCCGCAAGGUUGAAACUCAAAGGAAUUGACGGGG
rnacentral:rRNA from 1 species